AGCAGCCGCGGUAAUUCCAGCUCCAAUAGCGUAUAUUAAAGUUGUUGCAGUUAAAAAGCUCGUAGUUGAAUUUCGGGGUUAGUAGGUUGGUCAUGCCUCUGGUAUGUACUGGUCUCACUGAUUCCUCCUUCCUGAUGAGCCGUAAUGCCAUUAAUUUGGUGUUGCGGGGAAUUUGGACUGUUACUUUGAAAAAAUUAGAGUGUUUAAAGCAAGCUAAUGCUUGGAUACAUUAGCAUGGAAUAAUGAAAUAGGACGUUCGAUCCUAUUUUGUUGGUUUCUAGGAUUGACGUAAUGAUUAAUAGGGAUAGUUGGGGGCAUUAGUAUUCAAUUGUCAGAGGUGAAAUUCUUGGAUUUAUUGAAGACUAACUACCGCGAAAGCAUUUGCCAAGGAUGUUUUCAUUAAUCAAGAACGAAAGUUAGGGGAUCGAAGACGAUCAGAUACCGUCGUAG
rnacentral:rRNA from 1 species